rnacentral:sRNA from 2 species
AAAAUUAUAUAUAGUACCGUAGACAGUAGGAGCGGAAAGCUUAAUAUUUCCUACCGAGGAACUUAAAUUUUUAAGUCUUUCGGCCUUACUGUGUAAAUAGUAAGGCUUUUAU